rnacentral:rRNA from 1 species
AGUGAACGCUGGCGGUAGGCCUAACACAUGCAAGUCGAACGGCAGCACAGUAAGAGCUUGCUCUUACGGGUGGCGAGUGGCGGACGGGUGAGGAACACAUCGGAAUCUACUUUUUCGUGGGGGAUAACGUAGGGAAACUUACGCUAAUACCGCAUACGACCUACGGGUGAAAGCAGGGGAUCUUCGGACCUUGCGCGAUUGAAUGAGCCGAUGUCGGAUUAGCUAGUUGGCGGGGUAAAGGCCCACCAAGGCAACGAUCCGUAGCUGGUCUGAGAGGACGACCAGCCACACUGGGACUGAGAGACGGUCCAGACUCCGACGGGAGGCAGCAGUGGGGAAUUUUGGACAAUGGGCGCAAGCCUGAUCCAGCAAUGCCGCGUGCAGGAAGAAGGCCUUCGGGUUGUAAACUGCUUUUGUACGGAACGAAACGGAUCUGGUUAAUACCCGGGGCUAAUGACGGUACCGUAAGAAUAAGCACCGGCUAACUACGUG